rnacentral:lncRNA from 1 species
UCCAAGAAUAACGAACAGAAUACUAAGCUACAAAAAUCACAACCUAAUCUGCAGCAGCAUUAGUCUUGUAUGGUGUACAUGUAUUGCUUGGAACCAUUCAGUCUUAAACAUUCUCCACAUAUCCAAUGAUAGAUGGUGAACAUCAGCAUAUGGGGAAGGUUAUCUUGAGGUCCACGAGAUGAUUGUAAGAGAACAGUCUCAAGCCAAGCCUUCGUAGCAUGUAUAUCGGUUCAUUGCAGUAACCAUCCUUC